rnacentral:rRNA from 1 species
CCUACGGGAGGCAGCAGUGGGGAAUAUUGCACAAUGGGCGGAAGCCUGAUGCAGCAACGCCGCGUGCGGGAUGACGGCCUCCGGGUUGUAAACCGCUUUCGCCUGUGACGAAGCGUGAGUGACGGUAAUGGGUAAAGAAGCACCGGCUAACUACGUGCCAGCAGCCGCGGUGAUACGUAGGGUGCGAGCGUUGUCCGGAUUUAUUGGGCGUAAAGGGCUCGUAGGUGGUUGAUCGCGUCGGAAGUGUAAUCUUGGGGCUUAACCCUGAGCGUGCUUUCGAUACGGGUUGACUUGAGGAAGGUAGGGGAGAAUGGAAUUCCUGGUGGAGCGGUGGAAUGCGCAGAUAUCAGGAGGAACACCAGUGGCGAAGGCGGUUCUCUGGGCCUUUCCUGACGCUGAGGAGCGAAAGCGUGGGGAGCGAACAGGCUUAGAUACCCUGGUAGUCCACGCUGUAACGGUAGGUACGUAGGUGUGGGUCGAUCUACGGUCGUGCGUAGCUACGCUUACGUACCGCCGUCGGGAGGUACGGCCGCGAGACGUAAACUACAAGAAGUAGACGGCGUGAGACGUGCCGAACGGACGACGACGAGGGAGUAGG